rnacentral:rRNA from 1 species
CUGCUUGGUCCGGGUGUACAGUCUGUGGGACGAGGAAGGGUCAGAAGCUCGGGGCGCCGGCGUAAGGAGGUGGACGGUGGCGUUGCCCAGGAGGAGUACGGCGCGACUCCCCAAGCGGGUGGGCGGCAGAGCUGCCUACCUCCUCGGGUAGGCCGCGGGCCGCUCGGACCGCCGUUGGCCGUUCUCCAAGUAGUCGUACCGAUGUCGUUCCCUUGUCCAACAGUGCUAGGGUCAAUCCUCCUUAUUGGGGGGUUUUGAAAGUUUCUGUGUAUGGACGACUACGUCGGAAAUGUAGUGAACGGUACCUUAGGGACUUUACCUCACAGUCGAAACACGACAUUAAGACCACCUGGCGCAUCUUCAGAACCUGCCGGUCACUUUACGACCAAGCACGGUGAAAAGGGUGGUCGCUCGGGUCUAACUCCUAGUGAGGCUGUACCUUGAGCAGACGAAACGGCCACCACAAGACUCGAUGCGGCCCUAGCUGUUCCUCGUUCUCGUUCUCCUUCUCCUAACGAGCCCCACAAGAGAGGUAAGGCACCCCGUGGCGUUCAAAAUCUAAGAAACCACGACUCUACGUGACGUAACGUGGGAGAAUACAUCCUAAGGCGAACAACUUCUGAAAAGCCGAAUUGUUAACACAGUGACCAGUUUGA